rnacentral:rRNA from 1 species
GCCAGCCCGCUCAGAAACUUAAAGGAAUUGACGGGGGCCCGCACAAGCGGUGGAGCAUGUGGUUUAAUUCGAAGCAACGCGAAGAACCUUACCAGGCCUUGACAUGCAGAGAACUUUCCAGAGAUGGAUUGGUGCCUUCGGGAACUCUGACACAGGUGCUGCAUGGCUGUCGUCAGCUCGUGUCGUGAGGUGUCGGGUUAAGUCCCAUAACGAGCGCAACCCCUACCUUUAGUUGCCAUCAGGUUAAGCUGGGGACUCUAAAGGAACUGCCUACGCAAGUAGUGAGGAAGGCGGGGAUGACGUCAAAUCAGCACGGCCCUUACGUCCAGGGCUACACACGUGCUACAAUGGCCGAUACAGAGGGCAGCUACCUGGUGACAGGAUGCAAAUCUCCAAAGUCGGUCUCAGUUCGGAUCGGAGUCUGCAACCCGACUCCGUGAAGUUGGAUUCGCUAGUAAUCGCGCAUCAGCCAUGGCGCGGUGAAUACGUUCCCGGGCCUU